rnacentral:rRNA from 1 species
CGCUAUCACUCCUACGGGAGGCAGCAGUGGGGAAUAUUGCACAAUGGGGGAAACCCUGAUGCAGCCAUGCCGCGUGUGUGAAGAAGGCCUUCGGGUUGUAAAGCACUUUCAGUAGGGAGGAAGGUAGUGUAGUUAACACCUGCAUUAUUUGACGUUACCUACAGAAGAAGCACCGGCUAACUCCGUGCCAGCAGCCGCGGUAAUACGGAGGGUGCGAGCGUUAAUCGGAAUUACUGGGCGUAAAGCGCAUGCAGGCGGCCUGUUAAGUCAGAUGUGAAAGCCCGGGGCUUAACCUCGGAAUUGCAUUUUGAAACUGGCAGGCUAGAGUCUUGUAGAGGGGGUAGAAUUUCAGGUGUAGCGGUGAAAUGCGUAGAGAUCUGAAGGAAUACCAGUGACGAAGGCGGCCCCCUGGACAAAGACUGACGCUCAGAUGCGAAAGCGUGGGGAGCAAACAGGAUUAGAUACCCUGGUAG